rnacentral:snRNA from 1 species
GUGCUUUCUUUAGCAGCGUAUAUGCUAAAAUUAGAACAAGACUGAGAAGAUUAGUAUGACCCC